GUAACUGCUGUAAAAUCAGAGCAUAUAUUAAGGGCAGCUUGAAUCUAUCUUCCUGGGUUACAGUUCUUGAAGUUGGCUCAAAGAGACUCUCAACUUACAUUAAUUUUGCCUCAGCAUUUUCCUUUCUGUCAACAUUAUCUGGAGAAAAUGGACAGGACUCACAGUGACCUCCUCCUUACCACCUGGUGUUCCCUCUCAGGCUCAGCACUCAGUAUCAGCAUGAACCUAACAUGUUCCUCUAACUCCAGAGGUUUGACUGGAUGCAAAAAGAAAGUUCCCAGGAGAUGAAGACAUUGAAACUGCCAUCAUAAAAUUAAUAAAAGGUUCAAGAUUAGAAUUAUGGUAUUGGCCUGGAUUUUGUUAAGACAGAGACAUAGGAUUAUGUUGGCUCGGAGAAUGAUACCUCAAAGGCUGGUGCUGAGAGUUCUUAGAAGCUGCUUCAGAAUCAAGGAUCUCUCCAGAGAUCAACCACUGGAGAAAAGAUACUAGGAGUCAUCACCACAUCUAGACAGAGUGCUGCUCCAAGAGAUUAACUGAGGGAUUUCAUCUGCAUAAUAAGUCAACCUUUUUUCCGGGCGCAAUGGCUCACGCCUGUAAUCCUAGCACUUUCGGAGGCCCAGGUGAGUGGAUCACCUGAGAUCAGGAGUUUGAGACCAACCUGGCCAACUUUGUGAAACCCUGUCUCUACUAAAAAUACAAAAAUUGCCAGGCAUGGUGGUGCACGCCUGUAAUCUCAGCUACUCGGGAGGCUGAGGCAGGAGAAUUGCUUGAACCCGGGAGGUGGAGGUUGCAGUGAGCCGAGAUCGCACCACUGCGCUCCAGCCUGGGUGACAGAGCGAGACUCUGUUUCAAAAAAAAAAAAAAAAAAAAAAAGACAAUCUUUGUUUCUGUGCAGCUCUGCCCCUGUAAUGUCUACUUCAACUUCCCAGGUCCAUUCAUUCUCCCUAAUGGUUUAUUGCGCCUCAAAAGAAUUGUCUACAUUCCCUAUCUUCUCUUCUAUGAAAAAGGAUAUAUAAGCUUCUAUACCAUACUGGGUUAUAGAGCAAUCACUGUGAUUUUCCCUCAAGCAUGUUAAUAAUUUGUAUGCCUUUUCUCCUAUUAAUUUGCCUUUUGUCAGUUGAUUUUCAGCACAUCUUCAGAGGACAAAGAAGCAGCUCUUUUCACUCCUACAAUGGGAAUGAUAAUCUCCACCUUAUUUAGUUUUAAAAGAAUUAAAUGAGAUAAUGCAGCUAAAGCAGUUCAGAAUAAAACCUGACAUGUAGUAAUACUAGUUGCUAAUGAUUAUUAAGUGCUUAUUAUGUGCUAGGGCUCAAAAAUAUUACAUGUUUCUAUUCCUUUUUGUCAAACAGGGCAUGUUCAAAGAGUUAAAUUUGACAGAUGAGAAUCUACAAAGCAGGGAGGUUGCCCAAACUCAAUACUGAAUAUCAUGCAUCAGAAUCACCUUGGAGGACUUGUUAAUAAAACACAGAUUGCUGGGCCCCAUCCCCAGAUUUUCAUAUUCAGUAGGACUGGAGAGUGCUAUCUAAGAAUAUGCAUUUCUAACAACAUCCCAGGUGAUGCUGAUGCUGCUGGUCUGGGGACCAAACUUUGAGCUACGUGGGCAUAGAGGUUAAGAGGUCACAUUUUGAAAUCAGAAGGAUUCAUAUUGGAAGCUGAGCUUUAAUACUAGAUGGCCUUGGGAAAAUUACCUUGUCUUUUUUUUUUGAGAUGGAGUCUCACUCU
rnacentral:lncRNA from 10 species